GACCCUACGGGGGGCAGCAGUGGGGGAUAUUGGACAAUGGGGGGAACCCUGAUCCAGCGACGCCGCGUGAAGGAAGAAGUAUUUCGGUAUGUAAACUUCUAUCAGCAGGGAAGAAAAUGACGGUACCUGACUAAGAAGCCCCGGCUAACUACGUGCCAGCAGCCGCGGUAAUACGUAGGGGGCAAGCGUUAUCCGGAUUUACUGGGUGUAAAGGGAGCGUAGGCGGUUCAGCAAGCCAGAAGU
rnacentral:rRNA from 1 species